UCCCUGUAGAGAGAGUCAGAGAGAC
rnacentral:miRNA from 1 species